rfam:Schistosoma rodhaini strain Burundi genome assembly, scaffold: SROB_scaffold0001520
GCACUGCUGAGGAGUCCCAAAAUAGGACGAAACGGCCGCCCAGUGC